rnacentral:rRNA from 1 species
UACGGAGGGUGCAAGCGUUACUCGGAAUCACUGGGCGUAAAGCGCGCGCAGGCGGCUAGAUAAGUUGGAAGUGAAAUCCUAUGGCUCAACCAUAGAACUGCUUCCAAAACUGUUUAGCUAGAGUCUGGGAGGGGAAGAUGGAAUUAGUAGUGUAGGGGUAAAAUCCGUAGGGAUUACUAGGAAUACCAAAAGCGAAGGCGAUCUUCUGGAACAGUACUGACGCUGAGGCGCGAAAGCGUGGGGAGCAAACAGGAUUAGAUACCCUGGUAGUCCACGCCCUAAACGAUGAAUGUUAGUCGUCGGGACUCUAGUAGUUUCGGUGAUGCAGUUAACACAUUAAACAUUCCGCCUGGGGAGUACGGUCGCAAGAUUAAAACUCAAAGGAAUAGACGGGGACCCGCACAAGUGGUGGAGCAUGUGGUUUAAUUCGAAGAUACGCGAAGAACCUUACCUAGCCUUGACAUAUUUUAGAACUCCGCAGAGAUGUAGAGGUGCCUUCGGGAGCUAAUAUACAGGUGCUGCACGGCUGUCGUCAGCUCGUGUCGUGAGAUGUUGGGUUAAGUCCCGCAACGAGCGCAACCCUCGUUCUUAGUUACUAACGGUUCGGCCGAGGACUCUAAGAAGACUGCCUUCGUAAGGAGGAGGAAGGUGAGGACGACGUCAAGUCAUCAUGGCCCUUACGGCUAGGGCAACACACGUGCUACAAUGGUUAGGACAAUGAGACGCAAUACCGCGAGGUGGAGCAAAUCUAUAAACCUAAUCUCAGUUCGGAUUGUAGUCUGCAACUCGACUACAUGAAGCUGGAAUCACUAGUAAUCGUAGAUCAGCUAUGCUAC